rnacentral:rRNA from 1 species
UACGUAGGGUGCAAGCGUUGUCCGGAAUCAUUGGGCGUAAAGCGCGCGUAGGUGGCUUCGUAAGUCCGUUGUGAAAGUCAAAGGCUCAACCUUUGAAAGCCGAUGGAUACUGCGGAGCUAGAGUACGGAAGAGGCGAGUGGAAUUCCUGGUGUAGCGGUGGAAUGCGCAGAUAUCAGGAGGAACACCAAUAGCGAAGGCAGCUCGCUGGGACGUACUGACACUAAGGCGCGAAAGCGUGGGGAGCGAACAGG